rfam:Candidatus Gracilibacteria bacterium CG1_02_38_174 cg_0.2_sub10_scaffold_308_c, whole genome shotgun sequence.
CGCGGAGUAGAGCAGUGGUAGCUCGCAAGGCUCAUAACCUUGAGGUCGUACGUUCGAUUCGUACCUCCGCAA